UACGGAGGGUGCAAGCGUUAUCCGGAUUCACUGGGUUUAAAGAGCGUGUAGGCGGCCAUGUAGGUCCGUUGUGAAAACUCGAGGCUCAACCUCGAGACGCCGAUGGAAACCAUGUGGCUAGAGUCCGGAAGAGGAGAGUGGAAUUCCUGGUGUAGCGGUGAAAUGCGCAGAUAUCAGGAAGAACACCCGUGGCUAAGGCGGCUCUCUAGUACGGUACUGACGCUGAGACGCGAAAGCGUGGGGAGCAAACAGG
rnacentral:rRNA from 1 species